GAUGAAGAACGUAGCGAAAUGCGAUAAGUAAUGUGAAUUGCAGAAUUCAGUGAAUCAUCGAAUCUUUGAACGCACCUUGCGCCCUUUGGCUAUUCCAGAGGGCAUGCCUGUUUGAGUAUCAUGAACACCUCAACUCUCAUGGUUCUGCCAUGAUGAGCUUGGACUUUGGAGGUCUUGCUGGCCCCUGUGGUCAGCUCCUCUCAAAUGGAUCAGCUUGCCAGUGUUUGGUGGCAUCACAGGUGUGAUAACUAUCUACGCUUGUGGUUUUCCACCAGGUAACCUUCAGUGAUGGAGGUUCGCUGGAGCUCAUAAACGUCUCUCCUCAGCGAGGACAGCUUCUUGAACGUUUGAUCUCAAAUCAGGUAGGGCUACCCGCUGAACUUAAGCAUAUCGAUAAGCGGAGGA
rnacentral:misc_RNA from 1 species